rnacentral:lncRNA from 1 species
UCUUCCUCUAUGUUGCCCCUCCCCAUCUCUUUCCCCACUUGCAACCACUAACUUGUUCUCUGGGAGCCUGUUUCUGUUUUGUUAUAUUCAUUUGUUUUAUUUUUUAGAAGAGUAUCACUUCCCAUUUGGACUGUAAAAGAGGGCUCCAUGAGCAUGGAAAUAGUCUUUACUUCAGAGAAGCUGAGUUGUUGUAUUUCCCUGAGGCAGCAAAUUCAUUUGCAAACACAAAGGCUCAGGGAAAUUUGCGCCCUAUUACACAGUCUCCAAAUAUUCCAGACUUGCUAAGACUCCAGUCGAAAAGGGUCAAGGCAGUUCAUCAGAUUCCCUUCCUAAUUCUCAACUUCCAAAGCAAGUUCUUCCCAGAGCACAGACAAAGGAAGACUAUCUGGCUGCCUAGUCUACAGCCCUGAGGACAAAAGCAUCAUCAGUGACAAGGAGACGUCCUGCUGGGGAGUAAGAUUUUACCGAGACCCAGUUGAGGAGACAUAUGUGGGGAACUUGGAUCGUCUGAGACAAGCUGUCAAUGCCAGGCAAGCAGCGAUAUGCGGAGUGGAACAAAGCUCUGUGAACUUGGUGGCCACACACAAACAUGUGCUCCAUCUCUUAGGCUGCCAAGGCCCACCAGGCCAGAAUGGACCCAACAAGGAUGCCGUCACUACACAGGAAGCCAUCUCCAAUUAUCUUUUUAUCUCUAAUUACAAUCCCUCAAGCCUUCUACCCAAUUCUCAAACUUCCUGCUAUACUUUGCGUUGUUAUGUAUGUUUUCUCAUCUACUACAAAGUCU